GCUAAGAAGUAGUUACACGAGCAGAGAUAGAGGUAACAUUGGGCGCUCUAACCGCGAAAGAAAUUCCGUUUCACCAAAAGUACGCGCGCGAUGUGCUUAAUUGAACUCAGUGCAAUUGAUAACAAACAUACGUGCUGGUGAUGAGGAUAAUGAAUAUAGAUGACGACCGAUUUGUUACAGCGGCCUAGCAAUGCCUUGCCAUACCAGGAUGAAAAUUAUAUGCUUGCAAGGUCUGCUUUGGUUUUACUUUUUGGAAUUUGGUCUCAUGGUCAUGUCACUUGAACCUGGGG